UAGGGAAUCUUCCACAAUGGACGAAAGUCUGAUGGAGCAACGCCGCGUGAGUGAAGAAGGGUUUCGGCUCGUAAAACUCUGUUGUUAAAGAAGAACAUAUCUGAGAGUAACUGUUCAGGUAUUGACGGUAUCUUACCAGAAAGGAACGGCUAAAUACGUGCCAG
rnacentral:rRNA from 1 species